AAGAAGUCAAAUAUGACAGUUGAAAUAGUGAAAUAACGGUCAAAAAAUUAAUUUUUUGGAAGGAAAAAUCACUCCCAAACAGGCCCUAAGUUUGUGUAUGUAGUCACACGCUUUUGAGAUUGCUCAGACAAGGACGCAUUCAGGCCACUAAAGUAGUGAAUACGACACUUAGAACAUUAGGAACGGAUCAAGUUGAGGAUAAUUAGGAAGAUGUCUUUUUGCUGCAAUUUGGUACCUAUGUAGUUGAUUAUACGUGUCAUGGUCUCAUAGAAGGACAUUCAUAUCACUUGGCUGGAUGGAAGCAUUUCUCACUCAUUAUAUAUAUAGCCCUUGCUCCCUCACAUGCUCACACACUCACAGACAACACUGUGUUCACUGUUAGGUGAAGUAGCCGUGCAGUUGAGGCUCCGAUUCUGAGGCAAACAGCAGUUUUCUUGCUUCAAGAUUCAAAGGCCCACAAUCAAAAUUAGAGUGUUCUCAUACUGUAA
rnacentral:lncRNA from 1 species